AUUGAACGCUGGCGGCAUGCCUAACACAUGCAAGUCGAGCGAGCGGCGGACGGGUGAGUAAUGUAUGGGGACUGCCCGAUAGAGGGGGAUAACUACAGGAAAAGGUGGCUAAUACCGCAUACUGUGGGAGAACACAUAGUGGGUUAGCUAGGAGGUAAGGUAAUGGCUUACCUAGGCGACGGUCCCUAGCUGGUCUGGGAGGAUGAUCAGCCACACUGGGACUGAGACACGGCCCAGACUCCUACGGAGGCAGCAGUGGGGAAUAUUGCACAAUGGGCGCAAGCCUGAUGCAGCCAUGCCGCGUGUAGGAAGAAGGCCCUAGGGUUGUAAAGUACUUUCAGUCGGGAGGCGUUACCGACAGAAGAAGCACCGGCUAACUCCGUGCCAGCCGCCGCGGUAAUUC
rnacentral:rRNA from 1 species